AAACAGUGAAUCUGUGAAGCGAAUGUUGUAGUCUGAUCAGGUGGCUUUGGCAGGAAAAACUGCUGUUUUGUUCACGAAAGAUGGGGGCCAGCACAACAACCUUCAUGACAUGCAGUGCAUGUGGUAUGAACUUGCUUCUGAUGAAAGUUACUUUCGACAUGGUGAUUUUGGACGAGCCUUGGAGAAAUUUAUAGCUGUGGAGAAAUACUAUGCUGAUAUUACUGA